rnacentral:rRNA from 1 species
GUGCUGGCGACCGGCGAACGGGUGAGUAACGCGUGAGCAACCUACCCCGAGGAGGGGGAUAACCCGGGGAAACCCGGGCUAAUACCCCAUAAGCGCACGGCCCGCAUGGGCUGUGUGAAAAGGGUGGCCUCUGCAUAGCAAGCUGCCGCCUCGGGAUGGGCUCGCGUCCCAUCAGGUAGUUGGUGAGGUAACGGCUCACCAAGCCUACGACGGGUAGCCGGCCUGAGAGGGUGGUCGGCCACACCGGGACUGAGACACGGCCCGGACUCCUACGGGAGGCAGCAGUGGGGAAUCUUGGGCAAUGGGCGCAAGCCUGACCCAGCGACGCCGAGUGGAGGAAGAAGCCCUUCGGGGUGUAAACUCCUGUCGCCGGGGACGAUGCGGGUGGGGGUUAANAGCCCCCGCCCGUGACGGUACCCGGAGAGGAAGGGACGGCUAACUACGUGCCAGCAGCCGCGGUAAUACGUAGGUCCCGAGCGUUGCGCGAAAUUACUGGGCGUAAAGAGCGCGUAGGCGGGCCAGUAAGUCAGAGGUGAAAGCCCCCGGCUCAACCGGGGAAUUGCCUCUGAUACUGCUGGCCUAGGGUCCGGAAGACGCUGGCGGAAUUNCCGGUGUAGCGGUGAAAUGC